GCUUUUUCAUCAGUAUUUAUACUAAAAUUGGAACAGUACAGAGAAGAUUAGUAUGACCCUUGGGCAAGGAUGAUACACAAAUUCAUGAAGUGUUCCAUAUUAAA
rnacentral:snRNA from 1 species